UGGAUCAUUGAUGACCAUAAAAGAUGUAGGAGUCGUCUGAGACAUGCAUGAUGACCAUAAUAUUGCCAGUCUGAGAUCCAC